rnacentral:pre_miRNA from 1 species
UGUCCUUCACGAAUCUUUUUGCGGUCUGGGCUUGCUGUUCUCUGCUCACCCGGAAGCCCUUACCCCAAAAAGCAUUUGCGGGGGGCG